AGUGAACGCUGGCGGUAGGCCUAACACAUGCAAGUCGAACGGCAGCACAGUAAGAGCUUGCUCUUACGGGUGGCGAGUGGCGGACGGGUGAGGAAUACAUCGGAAUCUACUUUUUCGUGGGGGAUAACGUAGGGAAGCUUACGCUAAUACCGCAUACGACCUACGGGUGAAAGCAGGGGAUCUUCGGACUUUGCGCGAUUGAAUGAGCCGAUGUCGGAUUAGCUAGUUGGCGGGGUAAAGGCCCACCAAGGCGACGAUCCGUAGCUGGUCUGAGAGGAUGAUCAGCCACACUGGAACUGAGACACGGUCCAGACUCCUACGGGAGGCAGCAGUGGGGAAUAUUGGACAAUGGGCGCAAGCCUGAUCCAGCCAUACCGCGUGGGCGAAGAAGGCCUUCGGGUUGUAAAGCCCUUUUGUUGGGAAAGAAAAGCAGCAGGUUAAUACCCCGCUGUUCUGACGGUACCCAAAGAAUAAGCACCGGCUAACUUCGUG
rnacentral:rRNA from 1 species